AAGCAUAUGGCUCGGCUGCAGGAACUCAAUGACCGGGCCAUUGCUACUUCAAUCGCUAAGGUUGAGAGCGCUCCAACUGUUAAUGAAACGCCAAAAGAUGUUGAAAAAACUGAAGUGGCCGAUGAUGUGGGUGCAACUGUCAAUAGAAUUAACCCCAAGGAACAAGAAUAAGCGUUCACCACAGGGGAUAACUGAGUUAAUGAUGUGGGUGCAACUGUCAAUAGAAUUAACCCCAAGGAACAAGAAACGUUCACCACAGGUGAUAACCGAGUGUAGUCAUGUUCAGUAUUAUCUAAUUUAUGUUGAAAUGUAAAGGUUGGAAGAAGGUGAACUGUGGCAGCUUGUCAACCAACUGUGAUUUGAACUCUUAACUAAUCUUACAUUGUUAUAUACGUGAGUAGUCUCAUUUACUUUUGUUGGUUUAGUUAUUUCAUUGAUUUUAAAGUGACUCAUAUGCGUUUGAAAUGGUGUUUGGUUGGAAAAUAUAUUGGAAAACUGAUAUUAUAUAAGUCAC
rnacentral:lncRNA from 1 species